rnacentral:rRNA from 1 species
UACGGGGGGGGCAAGCGUUGUUCGGAAUUACUGGGCGUAAAGGGCUUGUAGGUGGCCAACUAAGUCAGACGUGAAAUCCCUCGGCUUAACCGGGGAACUGCGUCUGAUACUGGAUGGCUUGAGUGUGGGAGAGGGAUGCGGAAUUCCAGGUGUAGUGGUGAAAUGCGUAGAGAUCCGGAGGAACCCCAGAGGCGAAGGCGGCGCCCUGGCUCGCAACUGACGCUCAGACACGACAGCAUGGGGAGCGAACGGA